rnacentral:rRNA from 1 species
CCUACGGGUGGCAGCAGUGAGGAAUAUUGGUCAAUGGUCGGGAGACUGAACCAGCCAAGCCGCGUGAGGGAUGAAGGUACAGAGUAUCGUAAACCUCUUUUGUCAGGGAACAAAGGCGGGGACGCGUCCCCGGAUGAGUGUACCUGAAGAAAAAGCAUCGGCUAACUCCGUGCCAGCAGCCGCGGUAAUACGGAGGAUGCGAGCGUUAUCCGGAUUUCUUGGGUUUAAAGGGUGCGCAGGCGGUCUGUUAAGUCAGCGGUCAAAGCCCGGGGCUCAACCCCGGCCCGCCGGUGAAACUGGCAGUCUCGAGUUGGAGAGAAGUAUGCGGAAUGCGCGGUGUAGCGGUGAAAGGCAUAGAUAUCGCGCAGAACUGCGAUUGCGAAGGCAGUAUGCCGGCUCCACAGGGACGCUGAGGCACGAAAGCGUGGGUAUCGAACAGGAUUAGAUACCCUUGUAGUC